UCUUGAUUUCCUCCAUUGCAUAUAUUGCCUUCAAACUCGACAAUAAUGGGACUCUACAAGCAGGCAGCAACCCAAGAUGACCUGCAUGUAGGAACAUAUUUAGAAAAGAUUCUAAAACCUUCAAAGGAUAUUUAGUCACCCGAUCAAGCCACACAAGCCUCCCAUGUGUGUUGCUUUCUUCUAUACUGCUGCAGAUCAAUUGAAAUCAGCAACAACAUAAUCCAAUUAAGGCUGAACAGCUCCAAAGUCCAGUCAGCAAUACUCCAAGAGAAGAAUCAUCAAAACAAGUAGAUCUAUAAAAACCAUAUUAUAAUUAUAUGCAGCACUGAGAUACUCCAAUGCCUUCAGCUGUGAUUAGUAAGAAUAGCAUUGCAUGAUUAGUUGAUUCCUUGAAGAAGUCCCAGAACCAAGUUCAAUUAUGCUGGACUUGACCAUUAGAGGCCUCAACCUAUGGUAAAAGCAAUACACCACAAUCAAAUGCAUUCUAAGAAGUCAUAAAACAUGAGGGAAAGAGUGCAGAAAUGUGCUUGUUGAUUGUCCAUCAAGGACAGGCCUACCUCAGUUGGCAACUCUGAACCAAGUCUCCUCUGAAAAUUUCAAUCUGGAAAGACGAUGAUG
rnacentral:misc_RNA from 1 species